rnacentral:rRNA from 1 species
UACAGAGGUGGCAAGCGUUGUUCGGAAUUACUGGGCGUAAAGGGCGCGUAGGCGGCCUUCUAAGUCAGACGUGAAAUCCCCAGGCUUAACUUGGGAACUGCGUCUGAUACUGGGAGGCUUGAGUGCGGGAGAGGGAUGUGGAAUUCCAGGUGUAGCGGUGAAAUGCGUAGAUAUCUGGAGGAACACCGGUGGCGAAGGCGGCAUCCUGGACCAACACUGACACUGAGGAGCGAAAGCGUGGGGAGCGAACAGG